UGCGUGUGUGUGCGUGUGUGCGUGUGCGUGUGUGCGUGCGUGUAACGUGCGACGGACACACACACACACACACACACACACACACACA